rnacentral:rRNA from 1 species
CGAAAGCCUGACGGAGCGACGCCGCGUGAUGGACGAAGGCCCUCGGGUUGUAAACAUCUGUCGUAGGGGAGGAAAUUUUGACCGAUCCCAGGAGGAAGCACAGGCUAAACUCGUGCCAGCAGCCGCGGUAAUACGAGUUGUGCAAACGUUAUUCGGAAUCACUGGGCUUAAAGGGUGCGUAGGCGGGCAUGCAGGUCAGAUGUGAAAUCCCACGGCUCAACCGUGGAAUUGCGUUUGAAACCGUAUGCCUUGAGGGGCUCAGAGGAGAGCGGAACUGAUGGUGGAGCGGUGAAAUGCGUUGAUAUCAUCAGGAACACCGGUGGCGAAAGCGGCUCUCUGGGACCUUUCUGACGCUGAGGCACGAAAGCCAGGGGAGCG